rnacentral:rRNA from 1 species
GACGAACGCUGGCGGCGCGCUUAACACAUGCAAGUCGAGCGAGAACCGGGCCUUCGGGCCUGGGGAAAGCGGCGAACGGGUGAGUAACACGUGGGCAACCCACCCUUGGUAUCCGGAUAGCCCGAGGAAACUCGGAUUAAUACGGAAUGGCCCAACAGCUCUUCGGGGCGGUUGGAAAAGGUAGCUUCGGCCUCCGACCAAGGACGGGCCCGCGGUGGAUUAGCUUGUUGGUGGGGUAAUGGCCUACCAAGGCGACGAUCCAUAGCUGGUCUGAGAGGACGAUCAGCCACACUGGGACUGAGACACGGCCCAGACUCCUACGGGAGGCAGCAGUGGGGAAUCUUGCGCAAUGGGCGAAAGCCUGACGCAGCGACGCCGCGUGGGGAAGAAGGCUUUCGGGUUGUAACCCCGUUUCGGGAGGGACGAAGCCACUCAGGUUAAUAGCCGAGAGGGUGACGGUACCUCCAGAAGAA